UACGUAGGGGGCGAGCGUUUGUCCGGAAUCAUUGGGCGUAAAAGCGCGUGUAGGCGGUUCGGUAAGUCUGCUGUGAAAGUCCAGGGCUCAACCCUGGGAUGCCGGUGGAUACUGCUGAACUAGAGUGCGGAAGAGGCGAGUGGAAUUCCCGGUGUAGCGGUGAAAUGCGCAGAUAUCGGGAGGAACACCAAUUGCGAAGGCAGCUCGCUGGGACGUUACUGACGCUGAGACGCGAAAAGCGUGGGGAGCAA
rnacentral:rRNA from 1 species